ensembl:lncRNA
AAUACCUGCAAAAUAACAGGAAAAAUUGAUGAGGAAAAUCCGUGUCACGUCGCACCAAGUGCUCAGCAGAUGUAAGGGCGCGGGCGCGCACACAGCGCCUAUAUCAGAGUCCUCCUUUCAGUUUUCAAAAUAAGAGUCCUGGUUUAUCACCACGACAGACUAUUCUUAGAUUAACCCUGUACUGAUUUACUUUCAAGUUCCACAUUUCUUACAAUUCACAUGAAUAAAAAGAAACUUUUGCUUAAAGUAUAACACCUUUACACAAAAUGUGCACAUACUUUGGGGUGUCACAUCAACCCUUCACCGAGUGGCCAGGCCGCCAUUUUAAAUAAGAAUUUGGUCACUAACGUUACAUAACAAGACGUAUCAGAUUAUCUCACUGUUUUUACAUAUUUUAAUCAGUCAAACACUGUGUUAUGCCUUCAAAUGUCACAUUAAAAGCUUCAGGAAAACCAAGCACGUUCAUUUAUAGCCAGUUAAAAUACUAUAUCUAGCAAAGCAACUAACUGACAGCCUGUUGGCUAGUAAACUAGUUAACUGGCGAAUCACCUGGCUAGCUUAAAACUAGCUGGCAAAUUAGCCUGGAGAAUUCAAUAAACAUGACUAUAUGCCCAUGGGCUUUAUGAAUUUGUUUAAUUAAUUCAUUAAUAUAAUUCAGACCAAACGGGUAAGUUGUAGGCUAUCCGUGCUUCCAUGAUAAUGGCUAACGUUAUCCAACCAACCAACUAGCCUCGACAAUAUAAAGACACUACUUUAAUUGGUAAUGCAACACAGACAAAGUGAAUUAGACAUGUAGUGUACACAUACCUUUUAUUAUUUAUUGGCCUCGCUGCAUGACCAGUCAGUCAGGUUCUCUGCUGUGACGAGCGCUCGGUGUGUGGACUCUGGUGAUGACGAGGUGAUGAGGUUCGAAGCACAAACAACCCACGUGCUGGGUCAACCGAUAUAAGUUGGGUUGAUGGAUUUUGACUCAACGCAAGAGUUGCACAAAAUAACCCAAAUUCCAUAUAAAUAACCCAUAAUGGGUAAAGCAUUUCAUAACCCAGCGGUUGGGUAGAUUAAAUAACCCAGCAUUUUUUAGUGUGCAG